rnacentral:lncRNA from 1 species
CCAUGGCAAGCAACAUGAAGGUUGACUUUGAGAAGUUUGAUGAGAAAGAAAACUUUUUUAUGUGAAAAUUUGGAUUGAAGAUCUCUUGAUUCAGGCAGAUCUAGAUCAGGCAUUAGAGGAGAAACCUGAAGAGAUGUCAGAUCGUCAAUGGAUAUCCCUGGAGAAAAAGACUUGUUCGGUGAUUAGAUGAUGUUUGACAGAUGCGGCUCUCUAUUCGGUGUUAGAAGAGAAGAAUCCAAAGGGUUUGUGACCGAAGUUACACACCAUGUAUAUGGAG